ACUCAAAGGAAUAGACGGGGGCCCGCACAAGCAGUGGAUUAUGUGGUUUAAUUCGAAGCAACGCGAAGAACCUUACCAGGGCUUGACAUGGAUCCGACCGGGGUAGAGAUAUCCCUUUCCCUUCGGGGACGGGUCACACAGGUGGUGCAUGGUUGUCGUCAGCUCGUGUCGUGAGAUGUUGGGUUAAGUCCCGCAACGAGCGCAACCCCUGUUGUUAGUUGCUACGCGAGAGCACUCUAGCGAGACUGCCGUUGACAAAACGGAGGAAGGCGGGGACGACGUCAAAUCAUCAUGCCCUUUAUGUCCUGGGCUACACACGUAAUACAAUGGCGUUAAACAGAGGGAAGCUAAGCCGCGAGGUGGAGCAAAUCCCCAAAAGGCGUCUCAGUUCGGAUCGCAGGCUGCAACCCGCCUGCGUGAAGUCGGAAUUGCUAGUAAUCGCGGAUCAUCAUGCCGCGGUGAAUACGUUCCCGGGCCUUGCACACACCGCCCGU
rnacentral:rRNA from 1 species